rnacentral:lncRNA from 10 species
AGGACAAGAAUGAGGAAGAGAUUUGACCCAGAAUAAAGAAGCAGAAGGUGCAGCUUCACACCAUGCGACGCAGGCCCCACAGCCACGUUCCUCUCAAGGCUCAAAAUCAGGACAAGAAUGAGGAAGAGAUUUGACCCAGAAUCAAAGAAGUUGCAGCUUCACACCUUGUGACUCAAGCCACACGGCCACAUUCCUCUCAAGGUGCAAAAUGAUCUCAACUUACAACAGCUUCACAUCUGAAUUAUUUCAUUUCACAGGGACUUUAUACCAAGGUUCUCCACGUUGCACAAAGAUCACUACACCUUCCAAAACCCUGCUCAGGACGUCUUAGUCAUGCAUUCACAAUGGGAACUGGAAGUAAAAAGCAUUGAGACUGUUCCACUGACAAUUGUUUUACUUCUUUUUUAUCUUCAUUAGCAGGCAUCAGGCAACUUUAACCAACCUUCUAGGCAGUUGUCAGUGAUCAUUGUCAUAUUAAAGUGCAUGUUAUAGAUUAUAAAUUACUUUCAUGUUAUUUUUCCUUUAUCUUACACUUACUUACAGCAUUAUGUUGAUUUUUAAACUAUAUGGAAAGGGAAGUUACAUGAGCUAUAAAUUCCCCAUUACAUGGUCAAGCCGCAUUACAAAAGACUUGCUAUAUUA